AAUUCAUAUCUGGUGACUGGUUUACGUAUAUAAUAAUGGCCCCCCAAGGUGUGUCAACGCCAUAAUUCAAGGUCAAUUGCUUCUAUAGCAGUGGCUAUUAUAAUUCAUAAAAAUGAAAUCGCCGACAUGUGGUGUAUAACUUACUUAUAUCUAAAAAUAGAACGAUUUCGUUUGAUUAUUAUUGUAAUAUUUAAUACAUUUAUUUCUGUGUUUUUAUUAUGUACAAACCUGUGGCUUAGCUAAAAGUAUGCGACCAAGAUGACUCGUGAGUUUGUUUCUGUAUUGCACACAGCACAUACCGACAAUGUUUAGGUAGACAUGGGAUGAGUGAAUUAAAUGAAAGCGUAGUGGGUCGUGGCCUCUGCUGGCGUCAGUAACGAGUGACCAAUAUUUUCGGUUUUAUUGUGUAGUGUCUCAGUAUCGAUUAUCCACUCCUAGUACAAAAUGGAAGUUAUAAGACCCGACCAGCCAUCAAAGUGUUUGUACCACAAAGAUAAAAAUGCACCAAAUCCGCAUGGAGAAUGUAAUGUAAAAACAAUACAGAAGAUUAAUCCGAAUAUCUUACACCUAAUUGGCAACACCCCACUAGUUAAACUCAACCGAAUCCCUCAAUCGCUGGGUAUUAAAUGUGAGAUAUGUAAGUACCAUAUUGAUGA